AAACUAUUAGUUAAAUGGUAUAACGAUGACUUGAUAGGUCAUAAUCUAAGGUUCGAUUCCUUAAUAGUUUA
rnacentral:tRNA from 1 species